ACAGUUACCUGGAACGGAAGGUGUUAUGAAUACAAAAGUGGUUUUCCCGGGGUAAGCUGAUACAUUGCAUUCCAGGUGUGCUGAUUUCUCAAAAUACUAGAAAAUAGAUUGCAGAAUUUGUGGUAAUGAGAGGCUGUGUUCCCGCUUUGUCCUA
rnacentral:snRNA from 11 species